AUUGUCUUCGCGAGAAGGGAGAGUAAUGCGCGGACACGCACCGUGUGUGUCGCACCGACUGAUGUAAACUGUGGCUAGCACCGGCUAAUUCCUUAAGGAGCACGAUUUAUUGCCGACAGAUCGGCCCGCGUCUGAUUAGCUAAUUGGGGAGUUAAUGACUCGCCAAGGCGCCCACCUUUAGCUGGUCUGAGAGGCGGAUCUGCCACAUUGGGACUGAGACACGGCCCAAACUCCUACGGGAGGGAGCUCUGCCCCAUCUUGGACGAUGGGCGCCCGCCUGAUCCACCCUUGCCGCGUGAGUGAAGUAGGACCUAGUGAUGACAAGCUCUUCUGUCCGCGAGGAUUAUAACCCUACCUCUAUAUUACCCCCCGGCUAACUUCUUUGCAGCAGCCGUGUUAAUACCAAGCGGGCUGGCGCUGUCCGGUUUCGCUGUUCGUCACGGGUGCCUACACGGUUCUUUAAGUUCCCGGUGCCCCCCCCGCAUCUUACCACCCUGUUCUCCCCUUGCUUACUUAUCCCCCCCCCUUUCCUUUCGCACGGCUAAUUAUCUUUUCAGUUCCCUUCCCCCCCGCUAUUUCUUUAUUCCGUCAGCCCUCCCCCCGUUUUGAAGUCCUGCUCCAUUCGCCCCUCCUAUCUUUCCUUGUUUGUCUAGUUACCGUCCUGUUCUAGGCAAACCUUGAUUCCUUUUUUUCCUUGGUAUAUCCUCUCCCCUUACUUC
rnacentral:rRNA from 1 species